UACGAAGGGGGCGAGCGUUGUUCGGAUUUACUGGGCGUAAAGGGCGCGCAGGCGGUUCUGUUUGUCGAGUGUGAAAGCCCCGGGCUCAACCUGGGAACUGCGCUCGAAACGGCGGAACUAGAGUUCGGGAGAGGAGAGUGGAAUUCCCAGUGUAGAGGUGAAAUUCGUAGAGAUCAGGAAGAACAUCGGUGGCGAAGGCGCUCUGCUGGACCAUAACUGACACUCAGGGACGAAAGCUAGGGGAGCGAAUGGG
rnacentral:rRNA from 1 species